rnacentral:rRNA from 1 species
AUUGAACGCUGGCGGCAUGCCUUACACAUGCAAGUCGAACGGCAGCACGGGAGCAAUCCUGGUGGCGAGUGGCGAACGGGUGAGUAAUACAUCGGAACGUGCCCAGUAGUGGGGGAUAACCCGGCGAAAGCCGGACUAAUACCGCAUACGACCUACGGGUGAAAGCGGGGGAUCGCAAGACCUCGCGCUAUCGGAGCGGCCGAUGUCAGAUUAGCUAGUUGGUGGGGUAAAGGCCUACCAAGGCGACGAUCUGUAGCUGGUCUGAGAGGACGACCAGCCACACUGGGACUGAGACACGGCCCAGACUCCUACGGGAGGCAGCAGUGGGGAAUUUUGGACAAUGGGCGCAAGCCUGAUCCAGCCAUGCCGCGUGCGGGAAGAAGGCCUUCGGGUUGUAAACCGCUUUUGUCAGGGAAGAAACGCUCCGGGCUAAUACCACGGAGUAAUGACGGUACCUGAAGAAUAAGCACCGGCUAACUACGUGC